GAUGGCGACCGGCGCACGGGUGAGUAACACGUAUCCAACCUGCCGAUGACUCGGGGAUAUCCUUUCGAAAGAAAGAUUAAUACCCGAUGGCAUAGUUCUUCCGCAUGGUGGAACUAUUAAAGAAUUUCGGUCAUCGAUGGGGAUGCGUUCCAUUAGGUUGUUGGCGGGGUAACGGCCCACCAAGCCUUCGAUGGAUAGGGGUUCUGAGAGGAAGGUCCCCCACAUUGGAACUGAGACACGGUCCAAACUCCUACGGGAGGCAGCAUG
rnacentral:rRNA from 1 species